ACAAUUUUAGCUCAUACAAAUUGUUUAGUAGUUAUUAAUUGUUUUAGUAGUUAAUAAUUAUAUGUCGAUGGUUCAAAUUUGUUUGUUUUGUUAAACAUUCUCACUGUACUCAUGUAUUCUCGUUUUUAAAAAACUGCACUUUUAUUCUAUUAUAACAGAUUUGUGUAUUUUCAGAUUGUGCUUGGGGAUGCCCGUCCUGUGCAGCUACAAAGCUGCCAGUGUACCUGUGUGGCAGGUACAGCUGUGUGUAAUCAUGUGGCAGCACUGUUGUACCAGACUGCACAUUAUUGCCAGCUUAGCAUCACCUCUGUUCCCCCAACACACAGCUGCACAGAGACUGAACAGAAGUGGCAUAAGCCAAGAUCCAUGGGUGUUAAACCUGGUCUUGUAAAGUGACAUGGUGAUUCUUUCAGCCAGACCCAAGGAACGAAAACUGAUGGAAGGCAUUAGGAGCAACUUGUAUAAGGGUGUCAGUU